rnacentral:rRNA from 1 species
UUUGUCACCACAUUUCACCGACAAAACGCUCUCGGAAACGAACAGAGAGAAGAGGGCAAAACUGUUGAUCAAACCGGAUCGAGAAAACAGCUGUAGUUUUUCUGUCCGUUGCUCCUCGUCAUCAGUUCCCAGUUCGCAACUCCUCAUCACAUCGCAUGCACGCGCGCCCCUGCGCUUCUCGCGUUUCACGGGCAACUCCCCGCCCCGUCGUCGUCUUCUCCAACCUCUCGCCCGCCCCCGCCUUAUCACCACCUCGCUCUCUUUUCCCUUUUGUAUGCGCUCUUACCAACUGCACCGGACUCAACUGAGAUCCAUAUAUAACCAGGCAACCACCGCUGCCCCUCUACAGCCGAGGGGUGCCGUGCCGUGCCGCGAGGAGAGAGAAGAGGAAGGGGAGGAAGGGUUGGUGGUUGCGGAUACCAGGAGGCCGCCGGGCAUUGGGCUUGGGAUUCUCGGUCCUUUCGCCAGGACGGCAGGACCAAGGAGGCCAGAGGACGACGGGUACAGUGAGAGGGCGCUGCCGAGGUGUCCCCUUCGCCUCCAGCCGCUUCCUCCUUCUUCAGGAGAGAGGAGAUGGGCGAGACGGCCAUGGCCGGGUACGGGCUGGACAGGCCGGCGCGCUGCAGCGUCAGCUUCGACACGCCGUGCGGCUCCCUGCUGCGCGAGCUCGAGCAAAUAUGGACAGAGAUCGGGGAGCGCGAACAAGAUAAAGAUCGGAUGUUUCAAGAACUCGAAGCGGAGUGUAUGCGUGUGUAUCGUCGGAAGGUCGACAGUGCCAAUGCUGAUAGAAGCCAGCUCCGCCAGUCAGUGAUGGCCAAAGAAGCAGAGCUUAAAGCUUUAGUGGCUUCGAUAGGUGAAAAUACUACACAAUUUAAGGUGAAUGAAAAGCAUGCAUCGUUGAAAGAACAACUUGCUGCAGUGACGCCUCUCUUGGAUGAUCUCAGGGCCAUGAAAGAAGAAAGAAUCAAACAGUUCUCAAAUGUGCAAUCGCAAAUCGAGACGAUAAAUGCACAAAUAUCUGAUCACAAUUAUCAGCAUGAUGAUGGUUCGUCCAAACGUCUGAACAAUGAUCAUGACUUGUCAACCAGAAGACUUGCUGAUCUUCAAAUGCAGCUACGCAAUUUACAAAAAGAGAAGUCUGACCGCCUUCAGAAAGUAUUUGUAUAUGUGGAUGAAGUGCACUGCCUAUGCGCUGUGCUUGGGAUGGAUUUUGCAAAGACUGUAAAGGACGUGCAUCCAAGUUUGCAUGGGACCAACUCAGAUAAUUCGACGAAUAUCAGUGAUAGCACCCUUGAAGGUCUUACUCAGACUAUCCUGAAGCUCAAAGCAGAAAAGAGGACCAGAGUCUCCAAGUUGCAAGAAAUUGUGGGGAAACUCCACAAGUUAUGGAAUCUGAUGGAGUCAACAGAACAAGAGAGGAGACAUUUCAGCGAAGUAGCCGCUGUUCUUGGAUCUUCUGAGGAAGAGAUCACUUCUCCUAGUGUCCUGUCACUGGAGACGAUUCAGGAGACAGAAGAGGAGGUCGAAAGACUAACUAAGCAAAAAGCGAGUAGAAUGAAGGAGCUUGUUCUUAAGAGAAGGGUAGAGCUAGAAAAUAUCUGCAGAAAUGCACAUAUGGAGCCCGAUACGAGCACAGCACCAGAGAAGAUCGUUGCUCUAAUCGAUUCUGGUCUAGUGGAUCCUUGCGAACUUCUUUCCAACAUCGAAGCGCAAAUUGCAAAAGCAAAUGAGGAAUCUCAUACGAGGAAAGAUAUCAUGGAGAGAGUAGACAAAUGGCUAUCGGCCUGUGAUGAAGAGACUUGGCUUGAGGAAUACAAUCAGGAUGAUAACAGGUACAGUGCGGGCAGGGGUGCCCACUUGAAUCUCAAGCGUGCAGAAAAAGCGCGGUUACUCGUUCAAAAGAUUCCAACUAUGAUUGACAACUUGAUAGACAAGACAUUUGCCUGGGAGGAUGAAAGCAAUACACCAUUUCUAUAUGACGGGGUUCGUCUGGUCGCAAUUUUGGAAGAGCAAAAACUCAGAAGAGUACAGAAGGAGGAAGAUAAGAAACGAUACCGGGACCAGAAGAAGCUGCAGAAUCUAUUGCUUAAAGAAAAGGAGUUGAUCUUUGGGUCCAAGUCUGUUCCGAGGAAAACAAGCAGUUUUAACAGGAGGACGAGCGGGCAUCAUCCAAAUGGAAACGGGGCUGGUUUCAUGACUCCGAUGCCCCGCCGGGUGUCAGCGGGCAGUGCCACUCCUGAGCUUUUGACACCACGCUCGUAUUCUGGCCGGUACAACAAUUACUUCAAGGAGAACAGGAGGAUGACGGCGACGCCACUCAACUUCUCUACGGCUUCCAAGGAUGACAGCAUGUCAUCCUUCGCCUCCAUUAGCGGCUCGGAGCCUGGUUCUCCAUUGGUUUUGCACUGAGGAAGAGGACUUUCUUGGCGGGGAGGGUUGCGGUGGAGGCUACCGUCAAGAUUGGGCAAUUGUGUGCUAGCUGUUGACCAUGCUAAUGUGUGACAAAGAUUGGACAGGAUUUAGAUAAGAUUGGCUGUAGAUACAUGACCUAGCACUUUGUGGUGGUGUUGUAAUUCCAGCUGCGAGUUUGAUCGGUGUGUGGUUAGGGAACAUGAGAAAGGUGUCAAUGUAUUUGUUUUGUGCUAAUUGUUUUCUCUUUAUAGUAUUUCUAGUUGCGUAUCAUCAUUUUGGAUGUGAAACAAGAGAUGGUCCUUUUUUUUUUGUAUCACAUAAAAGUGUUGUAUCCUGUAUUCAGCCUACAUUACAGGUUGAACCUGAUGUAUUCCACUUUAUCUUUUGGAGCAUGUAUAGGAAUGGCACUUGCAGUGGAAUGUCCAGCUGCUGCUGUAUUCAACCUCUAGGAAUUAAGCAUCAUCAUUCAGACAGGCGCUUGCAGUGGCAUGUCCAGCUGCUGAAAAUAUGA